UAAAGGGUCAUCUGUCUUCUGGUUUUCCUUGGAGUUUAUUUAAUAAGCCUCUUUGUGGGAAUAGUCUCUAAAAACGUCUGAUUUUGGAAUCUUCCUUUAAUCUGUUUGCACGAUGGUGAAUUGCAAGGCCAGGAACACUGUGUUCGUGGCCAUGUUACUGGAAGUGGCAGACAGACCUCUUGGGCAGCUCACUGCCUCUGUGAGAGCAGUUGUCAUGGGAGGAGAGGAGUGUGUGUGGCGCUCAGAUGUACCGGGUGCUUUCAUCAGUGGAGCAGAAUGUUUGGCACCAGAGGUUA